CGGUCCGUUCGUCACUUCCUGCGAGUAACAUCAUGCAUAAAGCGUCACCCCACUAAACCUAAUUAUCGCCUUCGUUCAUCCGAGUCUGAUCUCGGCGGCGAGAAUGACGAUCCAUCGUUCUCCUUCUCCCUGUAACAGAACUUAACUUCAUCAAUGCGUCCGUCGAGAUCUCCGUUAUAAAUAGGUUUUUUUUUUUUCUGAUUUGAAGACCAGGAAGUGUUCAAACGUUAAGCGGGAUGGAUAUUGCGGCUUCAUCUAAUCUCUUUGCAAUCUAAUCGCGUCUUCACACAGCUUCUUCCCCGUUUAUCUCCGCACCAAACAGGAAUUGAGUUUUUAUCCUCGCCAAAUCAUGCCCAGACAAUCAGAGCUUCGGUUCGAACGAUUCCAAUUUUCACUGGAGACAAACCAACGAAACCCAGGGCAUCAGCAAUCGAUGUCAAGGAGACAGUGAAUGAUGACAUGUGUGUGCUUAUCUCCAGCUUUAAUUACCAAUGCCUACACUUUGGUCUCUGUACAAAACGCAGAUGCUUUAGACAAGAAACCAUGAGUUUGCCGUAACUGCCAGGGCAUUGGUACUGUUCUUUGUGAGUUACAU